UUUGGUGAAAAGUAUCCAGUGCCCCUUAUCU
rnacentral:piRNA from 1 species